CAAGUCGAGCGGUAACAGAGAGGUGCUUGCACCUUUGCUGACGAGCGGCGGACGGGUGAGUAAUGCUUGGGAACAUGCCUUGAGGUGGGGGACAACAGUUGGAAACGACUGCUAAUACCGCAUAAUGUCUACGGACCAAAGGGGGCUUCGGCUCUCGCCUUUAUAUUGGCCCAAGUGGGAUUAGCUAGUUGGUGAGGUAAUGGCUCACCAAGGCAACGAUCCCUAGCUUGGUUUGAGAGGAUGAUCAGCCACACUGGGACUGAGACACGGCCCAGACUCCUACGGGAGGCAGCAGUGGGGAAUAUUGCACAAUGGGCGCAAGCCUGAUGCAGCCAUGCCGCGUGUGUGAAGAAGGCCUUCGGGUUGUAAAGCACUUUCAGUCAGGAGGAAAGGUUAGUAGUUAAUACCUGCUAGCUGUGACGUUACUGACAGAAGAAGCACCGGCUAACUCCGUGCCAGCAGCCGCGGUAAUACGGAGGGUGCGAGCGUUAAUCGGAAUUACUGGGCGUAAAGCGUACGCAGGCGGUUUGUUAAGCGAGAUGUGAAAGCCCCGGGCUCAACCUGGGAACUGCAUUUCGAACUGGCAAACUAGAGU
rnacentral:rRNA from 1 species